AUGCCGGUACACUGUGUGGCCUGUUUCGCUGCGCCCUCAAUUUUCUUAUACAGCGCUUCAAAGCUGCCGACGACAAGUCGCCGGCCUCGCUGGACGCUGGCCGUUUCAACCUUGAAGAGUCGCCGCCUGGGCUGUUUUUCCGUCCCUAUCGGUCCAUUGCUGAGUCGUUGCAGCUGCAAACCUGGUUUUGUCCGGCCGGCGCCGGUUUACUACUACUCCUCACAGAUACUGCCGGUUCUUGUGGUCGCUUUGAUCCGCCUGUAUGCUGCAGAUAGAAGGCAGCCUUGUUUUUUCCACAAAUCGCCGGGCCCUUCCGUCGGGUUACCGCGCCCCGUCUUAGUCACCCGCCAGCUCCGCCCGGUGUGCUACGGGCCGCUUUGUCCCACCGGAGCCUCUACUGCUGAGUCGUCAUGGAUGUUCUUGGCCGACCCGGCCUCGCCUUGA
rnacentral:rRNA from 1 species